UACUUUCAAACAGAAUAUAUGGAUACAUUACAGCAUUUUUAAAGAUAAUCUUUAUCAUCUUAGAAUUGUUUAUUAAGACUUUCUGACAUAGUAGAAACAGGAUAGGUCUGUGAAAAUUUUCAAAACUCCCCACAAACCAUUGUCUUUUACAGCUGAAGGAAGAUUUGCUCUGUGAGAAAAAACUUAAAGAGACAGCUUCUGCUCCAUUGAGACGAAACCUUGUGACCACAGACAGUGUCUUAACAGGAAAGAUUUGGGGGAUAAGUCCUAGAGAGCCAACUGCCGGCCAGGAAUGGCUUGAAUGAAAUUAAGAAGACACCUGUUCAGUGAUCUGGGAAGCCCAAUGAGACCAGCAAACGGAAGAUGAACACAACAGCCAGCCAAAUCCGCCCAAUUCCGGUUGAGUAUUUAUUUACUCCAGUUAGGAGGUCUCUGAGGAACAUCCAACUCAUGACUUAGGCUCAAAAGAAGGUAAGAUUCUGCAAAAGAAAACAAUUGCAU